rnacentral:lncRNA from 1 species
GCAAAUAGCCGGACCAGGUUGAUCCAUUAAUCAUCAACAGACUCGACAAUGAUUUGUUUGUUGAGAUCAAACAAUACUAUUCAUCAUGCACUAAGCGAUGGAGCAAAACAUGGUCGAGUCUAUUCUGGCCCCCCGGAUCUGGUCUGGUUAGUCGCUGCUAAUUUAGGGGUCAAUAUAUCCCACUGUAACGGUACGCAACGCAUGAAACGUCCUGCAAGAGUAAUGGUCACGCACUCAUUCUCGAUUUUCGACAUAAUAAUAUUACACGUGUACGAAAGGAGUCGAAACAAUAGCAUUGCAACCAUGGUUCUAUACAUAGGUAGGUAGUAUUGCUUGAUUCCUUUCCUCAGGCAAUCUUCACCCCACUUCGACUUCAUUUCAACAGACUACAACCACCUCGGAUUUCUACAUCAGCAGGAUGGAGAUGAGAAUAAAAGGGCCAAAAUUGCGACCUUAGAUCAGAUCUUUAUCCACAGCAGAUUUCCUAUAGGAUAGCCGGUCUAUUCAAGGGUUACAAUCUGCAGGAUUCUGGAGAUCUAAAUGUCGCGAUACACGACACAAAUAGGGUGCUUCUUGACAAGCGCCACAUGAUUGCAACGUGCUGUUCACUGCUGACUUAAUACCCCUGAUGGUAGUACUGAACUGGGCGAUCCUUAUAAUGACGUCUUCUGCGCAUGUGAGAUGGUCGCUUGAUUAAAGGUCUAGGUGUGUUGUUCGUCCGCCAGAAAUUAUCCACAAAUUGUUGCUGUGUCGAUACAGACAGCCCCCUGUACACCAUUACGAACGAACGUGAGCGACUUCUCAAUCAUCAGUUGUAACAAAACGAUGAUUUGUCUCUUCCUACUUGGUGAUUUAUCGCAGAAAUUGGAAAUAAUUAAAAAGAACACCUCGCAUAUGUUUUCUGCCACGACAUGGCAUUACUGAGCCAGAGAUACCUAAUACCUUAUCUCGCUGAUGCAACAAUUGUCGUACUAUGAAUGGUGGCGGCAGGUUCUCAUCAUAGUAGGUCAGCUAAAUAACUAAAUGCUCUUUAACAUGAGGUCAUUGAUGACAGUUGUAAGCAAGGCACGCAGCGAUUUAACCCAGAUACUAUUGAGUAAGCGCGGCCAGCAGAUCUAAGCCUAUUCAUGAUGCCCAUCUAUAUAAGACUUGUUCUUGCUGUUAGUGAUAGUUGGUCUGGAAUGCGCUGCGAAUAUACUUCAAUUUUAUCUCCACAGUUGAAUAUGGCAUGACAAAUAGCUUACAUUUCAAGUCGAUUUUGGAGGAUGUGUCGACAAUUAUGGACAUUCUAUACCAUCAACUUCUAGUCAUGACGAUAAGAACAAUUCUUAGUAUACACCAUCAUCAUCAUCAUCAUCACGCAUUUCCCCCAAUAAAAUAACACAGACCGCGUCUGACUGGUCGACACAACGACCGUCAUGGGUGUCAAAGCCGAAAGCCUCCUCUCUCCCAUUCAACUCGGCCACGAAAUCAUCAGCUUAACAGACGCCGCUUUCCUGAUCGAGAACGAAACUUCCGAAAAUUGAUGUUUGACAUAGACUGUCGACGGGAUC